CUCCUUGUCUUAACCUGUGAGCAGCACCUUUCUGCAGAAGUAAAUUUGCCUUGCUGAGAAACCCCUUAAGUACUUGUUUUCUUUGCAACUCCGAGCUUUUAUUUUCAACACAAUUGUGGGCCCAUCCA